GAUGAACGCUAGCGGCAGGCCUAAUACAUGCAAGGCGAGGGGUUGGCAACAACACCGUCGUACGGGUGCGUAACGCGUAUGCAACCUACCUAUCACAGGGGGAUAGCCUUUGGAAACAGGGAUUAAUACCGCAUAAAGCAGGGGCUUGGCAUCAAGAUACUGCUAAAGAUUUAUCGGUGAUAGAUGGGCAUGCGUCUGAUUAGUUAGAUGGUGAGGUAACGGCUCACCAUGACGAUGAUCAGUAGGGGCGUCAGAGCGUGGUCCCCCACACUGGCACUGAGAUACGGGCCAGACUCCUACGGGAGGCAGCAGUAGGGAAUAUUGGGCAAUGGAUGCAAGUCUGACCCAGCCAUGCCGCGUGGAGGAAGAAGGUCCUCUGGAUUGUAAACUCCUUUUGUCGGGGAAGAAGAGUCAUCUUGCGAGGUGAUGUGACGGUACCCGAUGAAUAAGCCACGGCUAACUACGUGCCAGCAGCC
rnacentral:rRNA from 1 species